AACGAACGUUGGCGGCGUGGAUUAGGCAUGCGAGUCGAACGCGAAUCCCUGGGCAACUGGGGAGGAGAGUGGCGAAAGGGGCAGUAAGGCGUGGGUAACCUACCCUCCGGGCCGGGAUAGCUUCGGGAAACUGAAGGUAAUACCGGGCGACGCAGCGAGAUCGCAUGGUCUUGCUGCCAAAGGUCCGCCGCCGGGGGAGGGGCUCACGUGGUAUUAGCUAGACGGCGGGGUAACGGCCCACCGUGGCAAAGAUGCCUAGCAGGUGUGAGAGCACGACCUGCGCCACUGGCACUGAGACACUGGCCAGACACCUACGGGUGGCUGCAGUCGAGGAUCUUCGGCAAUGGGCGCAAGCCUGACCGAGCGACGCCGCGUGUGCGAUGAAGGCCUUCGGGUUGUAAAGCACUGUCGAGGGGGAGGAAGCCGCAAGGUUGACCUAUCCCUGGAGGAAGCACGGGCUAAGUUCGUG
rnacentral:rRNA from 1 species